UACGGGGGGAGCAAGCGUUGUUCGGAUUUACUGGGCGUAAAGGGCGCGUAGGCGGCCAGCACAAGUCAGUUGUGAAAUCUCCGGGCUUAACUCGGAAAGGUCAACUGAUACUGUGCGGCUAGAGUGCAGAAGGGGGCAACUGGAAUUCUCGGUGUAGCGGUGAAAUGCGUAGAUAUCGAGAGGAACACCUGCGGCGAAGGCGGGUUGCUGGGCUGACACUGACGCUGAUGCGCGAAAGCGUGGGGAGCGAACAGG
rnacentral:rRNA from 1 species